rnacentral:rRNA from 1 species
UACAGAGACUGCAAGCGUUUAUUCGGAUUCACUGGGCGUAAAGGGUGCGCAGGCGGUUGGGUGUGUCAGAUGUGAAAUCCCGAGGCUCAACCUCGGAACUGCGUCUGAAACUACUCGACUAGAGUACUGGAGAGGGUAACGGAAUUCACGGUGUAGCAGUGAAAAUGCGUAGAUAUCGUGAGGAACACCAGAGGCGAAGGCGGUUACCUGGACAGUUACUGACGCUCAGGCACGAAAGCAUGGGGAGCAAAAGGG